CAUGCGAGUCGAGAGGGUUCGGCCCUCGGCAGACUGCUCAGUAACACGUGGAUAAUCUGCCCUUAGGUGGAGGAUACUCUCGGGAAACUGAGGAUAAUACUCCAUAGGUCUAGGAGGCUGGAAUGCACCUAGGCUUAAAACUCCGGUGCUUAAGGACGAGUCUGCGGACUAUCAGGUAGUAGUCAGGGUAAUGACCUGACUAGCCUACAACGGAUACGGGUUGUGAGAGCAAUAACCCGGAGACGAUAUCUGAGACACGAUAUCGGGCCCUACGGGGCGCAGCAGGCGCGAAACCUUCACACUGUGCGAAAGCGCGAUGAGGGGAUCCCAAGUGCUUGCUCCUAGGAGUAAGCUGUUUCUCUGUUUAAAACGCAGGGAGAGGAAGGGCUGGGUAAGACGGGUGCCAGCCGCCGCGGUAAUACCUGCAGCUCAAGUGGUGACCGCUAUUAUUGGGCCUAAAACGUUCGUAGCCGGCUGAGUAAAUGCCUGGGUAAAUCGUGCCGCUUAACGGUACGAAUUCCGGGUAGACUGCUUAGCUUGAGACCGGGAGAAGCUAGAGGUACUCCUGGGGUAGGGGUGAAAUCCUGUAAUCCUGGGGGGACCACCAGUGGCGAAGGCGUCUAGCUAGAACGGGUCUGACGGUGAGGAACGAAACCCUGGGGCGCAAACCGGAUUAGAUACCCGGGUAGUGCAGGGCGCAAACGCUGCUUGCUUGAUGUUAGCUGGGCUCCGAGCUCAGCUAGUGUCGGAGUGAAGAUGUUAAGCAAGCUGCCUGGGAAGUACGAUCGCAAGAUUGAAACUUAAAGGAAAUGGCCGGGGGAGCACAGCAACGGGUGGAGCGUGCGGUUUAAUUGGAUUCAACGCCGGAA
rnacentral:rRNA from 1 species